rnacentral:lncRNA from 1 species
GCCCACAUGUGACCUGAUUCUUCAGGUACACUAAGGUGUCAGAAACUCAGCUCAGCUGGAAGAAACUUGAUGUACCAGGUAUCAGAGUAGCAAGUAAAGCCACAAGCCAAAAAUGAAAGAGAAUCUUUUAAGUGCUUAUCGUGAUGGUGUAAGUAAUUGUCCAAAAGAAACGCCGAUUCCUUCUGUUCCAUUUUUACCUGUGGAUUGUGGAUUGAAAUAACCAUUGGACCAUGAGGAGAGACUCUGAAGAGAGGCUAGUGAUAUGUGAUAUAAUACUCUUUUGUGACGUUGGACCAUGGCAGUGAGCCGCAGCUCCCAGUCAGCAAUGCGAUCCCAAGAAUAAACAACCGAUUCUUGACAGUGUCCUAUGUUGCCAGUCGAUUUUGUUCAACAGUAGGUACAUCUUUUGACUCUAUUUAGUGAUGUACUUAUUUUCAUCUGAAUUCACUGUGGUCCAGUCCAAACUCGUUGGCUACUUUAAAUAGUGGAAGUCUGGUGCAAGAUGCUCUACCCAUAGAGGCAAGUACACCCCACUCCCAAAUUAAAAAGAUUGACCUUAGCCAAACAUAACACGAGAUGGGGGUUCUGCUAUGCUGCCCAGACUGUUUUCAAAUUCCUGGCCUGAAGUGAUCCUCCUGCCUUGGCCUUCCAAAGCACUGGGAUUACAGGUGUGAGCCACCAUUCCCAGUCUUAAUAUUAAGUAUUUAUGGGAUGCUUCUUGGUCUUAUCGGCAUAACCAUUAUUAAAUAUUAAUUAUACUUUUGUAGGUUGAAUUAUUAGAAAUUUGGCCUAUUU